GGGUGAUUAGCUCAGCUGGGAGAGCACCUCCCUCACAAGGAGGGGGUCGGCGGUUCGAUCCCGUCAUCACCCACCA
rnacentral:tRNA from 3 species